AAGAUGUAAAGAUAUAAGUGGAAAGACAAGUAUACCAAUGCAGCAGUUCUCAUAUGCCUACAUUUGUCGUCUGGUUUCUCAGGUAGUAGAGGUGAGAUGUUUACCCAACGCCAUACUUAGAUGGAAUUGUCAGCAAACUGCUUGUACUUCUUCAGUUUUAGAACGGUAAGCAGAUGGUGCAAGAAGGUGCCUUAACGGUAACACUAUCUCGCGCACUAGAAGCAAACCAGGAAGCCCAUCGCAUCCCCAAGCAGUGACGUUUUCGCCCAAUUUUGAAGCCUUUCCCCAUUCUGCUGCGACCCAAUUGAUGGGACUGUAAUGGGUUAUUUGGAAUCUAGGAUCCCAUUGAAGAAGGGGAGCUUGUUUUGUACUCAGAUCACUGGAAAAGAGAAUGUCCAUUUUUUGCCAAUGAUUUUGGAGAAAUUUAGGAAAGGUGGUGGUGAGGGCAUGGAAUUUAUAUUGUAAAUGUUGUUGAAACUCAAAUUUGAGCUGUAAAACUAAAUCUCUGUUUGUGGUUUACUGAGGUUCUAGGAUCUGAUUAUUUUCUUAAUAAACUCUGUCUGGCAUGAUCAUUAAUAUUUACAUUGAUUUCUGUUGUGUAUUUAUGUUUAAAUUCAAAGUGAGUUGAUAAUGUCUAAUUGUUCACUGUUGAGGCUUAGUUCCUUGGUGUUGCAAAUGUA